rnacentral:rRNA from 1 species
AUUGAACGCUGGCGGCAGGCCUAACACAUGCAAGUCGAACGGUAACAGGAAGAAGCUUGCUUCUUUGCUGACGAGUGGCGGAUGGGUGAGUAAUGUCUGGGAAACUGCCUGAUGGAGGGGGAUAACUACUGGAAACGGUAGCUAACACCGCAUAACGUCGCAAGACCAAAGAGGGGGACCUUCGGGCCUCUUGCCAUCGGAUGUGCCCAGAUGGGAGUAGCUAGUAGGUGGGGUAACGGCUCACCUAGGCGACGAUCCCGAGCUGGUCAGAGAGAAUGACCAGCCACACUAGAACUGAGACACGGUCCAGACUCCUACGGGAGGCAGCAGUGGGGAAUAUUGCACAAUGAGCGCAAGCCUGAUGCAGCCAUGCCGAGUGUAUGAAGAAGGCCUUCGGGUUGUAAAGUACUUUCAGCGGGGAGAAAGGGAGUAAAGUUAAUACCUUUGCUCAUUGACGUUACCCGAAGAAGAAGCACCGGCUAACUCCGUG